rnacentral:rRNA from 1 species
UGGCGGACGGGUGAGUAACGCGUGGAAAACCUGCCGUAUACUGGGGGAUAACACUUAGAAAUAGGUGCUAAUACCGCAUAAGCGCACAGCUUCGCAUGAAGCGGUGUGAAAAACUCUGGUGGUAUACGAUGGUUCCGCGUCUGAUUAGCUAGUUGGUGGGGUAAUGGCCUACCAAGGCAACGAUCAGUAGCCGGCCUGAGAGGGUGAACGGCCACAUAGGGACUGAGACACGGCCCAAACUCCUACGGGAGGCAGCAG